rnacentral:rRNA from 1 species
UACAGAGGGUGCGAGCGUUGUUCGGAAUUACUGGGCGUAAAGCGCGCGCAGGCGGCCCUUUAAGUCCACUGGUGAAAGACCGGGGCUCAACCCCGAGUCAGCCAGGGAUACUGGAGGGCUGGAGACAGGUAGAGGCAAGCGGAAUUCCACGUGUAGCGGUGAAAUGCGUAGAGAUGUGGAGGAACACCAGUGGCGAAGGCGACUUUUCUGGCCUAUAACUGACGCUGAGGCGCGAAAAGCGUGGGGGGAGCAAACAGGAUUAGAAAACCCGUGU